AAGGCUUGGUCUUUGGGAAGAUAUGAGUUGAUUUGGCCAGUUCUGAAAUGCCAGGAGACUCUUCAGUAGGGGAAAAUCAAGUUGUUGUUUUUUUUUUUCCCUGGUUGCCUGCCUGGGUAAUGCAAGCUACUGUCAUUGGACUAAUGGGAGUAUUUUUAAUCCUGAAGAGAUUUUAUUAUAAAACGUUUUCCCUCCAUUAGGUAUCUCAACCUCCUGGCACAACAUCAUUUUCUUUGCCUGAUGACUGGGACAACAGAACCUCAUAUUUGCACUCUCCCUUCUCAACUGGACGAAGUUGUAUCCCCCUCCAUGGCGUUAGUCCAGAAGUGAAUGAACUAUUGAUGGAAGCCCAGCUGCUCCAGGUAUCCCUUCCUGAAAUUCAGGAACUUUACCAGACUUUACUUGCAAAGCCAAGCCCUGCUCAGCAGACUGACCGAAGCUCACCAGUGAGACCCAGCAGUGAGAAGAAUGACUGUUGCCGAGGGAAGCGAGAUGGAAUUAACAGUCUUGAGAGAAAACUGAAGAGACGCCUGGAAAGAGAGGGCCUCUCCAGUGAGCGGUGGGAACGAGUUAAGAAAAUGCGGACCCCCAAAA
rnacentral:sRNA from 1 species